AGAGUUUGAUCCUGGCUCAGAACGAACGUUGGCGGCGUGGAUUAGGCAUGCAAGUCGAACGAAUCCCAUUUGUGUAGCAAUACACGGGUGGGGGAAGUGGCGAAAGGGGCAGUAAGGCGUGGGUAACCUACCCUGGGGAUGGGCAUAGCCGUUCUAACGAGCGGGUAAUACCCAGCGAUUCGGCCGAGGGGACAUCCUCUUGCCGGGAAAUGAGAUUCGCCUCGGGAGGGGCUCACGUGCUAUUAGCUAGUUGGUGAGGUAACGGCUCACCAAGGCAAAGAUGGCUAGCGGGUGUGAGAGCACGACCCGCGCCACUGGCACUGAGACACUGGCCAGACACCUACGGGUGGCUGCAGUCGAGGAUCUUCGUCAAUGGGCGCAAGCCUGAACGAGCGACGCCGCGUGUGCGGUGAAGGCCUUCGGGUUGUAAA
rnacentral:rRNA from 1 species